rnacentral:rRNA from 1 species
UCUGACCCGCUAGCCCAAUCAAAAACAACAAAACACAGUAAUAAACCCAAAGACACUACCCCACAAACAAACCAUUUUUCCCCCUUAGUAUGGGCGACAGAAAAGGAACGGAGCAAUAGAGAAAGUACCGCAAGGGAAUGCUGAAAAAAAAUGAAAAAAACAAGUGAAGCCUAAAGAAGCAGAGACUACAACUCGUACCUUUUGCAUCAUGAUUUAGCCAGAAGAGGAGAUUGCGCUGUUAUCCCUAGGGUAACUCGGUUCAUUGAUCGGCGUUGCCGGAUCUUACUGGUCAGAAAUUCUGUUAAUUAGAGCUGUCGCUCUUGGUUGUGAAUGUAGUACAUUCGGUCCUUGCGGGGGUUUUUUAUUUCUCCGCGGUCGCCCCAACCAAAGACAUUAGGGCAGGGCUCAGUUGACUCGUCCUGUUGUUGAGGGUAUUAGUGCUGAUCUGCUUUAGUGUCUAAAGCUCCAUAGGGUCUUCUCGUCUUAUGUGCUCAUCCCCGCUUCUGCACGGGGAGAUCAAUUUCAUUGACUUGAAAGAGGAGACAGUUAAGCCCUCGUUAUGCCAUUCAUACAGGUCCCCAUUUAAAAGACAAGUGAUUGCGCUACCUUCGCACGGUCAAAAUACCGCGGCCGUUAAACAUUAGUCACAGGGCAGGCGGGACCUCUUAUACAAGAGGCGAUGUUUUUGGUAAACAGGCGAGGCUGUUUGCCGAGUUCCUUCUCUUUCUUUUAGUCUUUCC